CCAAUAGCGUAUAUUAAAGUUGUUGCAGUUAAAAAGCUCGUAGUUGAAUUUCGGGAUCAAUUAAUUGGUCGUGCCUCUGGUACGUACUAAUUUUAUUGGUUUCUCCCUUCUGAAGAACCAUGAUGUCAUUAAUUUGGUGUCGUGGAGAAUCAGGACUGUUACUUUGAAAAAAUUAGAGUGUUUAAAGCAAGCUAACGCUU
rnacentral:rRNA from 1 species